rnacentral:rRNA from 1 species
CCUACGGGAGGCAGCAGUGGGGAAUUUUGGACAAUGGGCGCAAGCCUGAUCCAGCAAUGCCGCGUGAGUGAAGAAGGCCUUCGGGUUGUAAAGCUCUUUUGUCAGGGAAGAAACGGUGGGAGUUAAUAUCUCCCGCUAAUGACGGUACCUGAAGAAUAAGCACCGGCUAACUACGUGCCAGCAGCCGCGGUAAUACGUAGGGUGCAAGCGUUAAUCGGAAUUACUGGGCGUAAAGCGUGCGCAGGCGGUUUUGUAAGUCUGUCGUGAAAGCCCCGGGCUCAACCUGGGAAUUGCGAUGGAGACUGCAAGGCUUGAAUCUGGCAGAGGGGGGUAGAAUUCCACGUGUAGCAGUGAAAUGCGUAGAGAUGUGGAGGAACACCGAUGGCGAAGGCAGCCCCCUGGGUCAAGAUUGACGCUCAUGCACGAAAGCGUGGGGAGCAAACAGGAUUAGAUACCCUGGUAGUCCACGCCCUAAACGAUGUCUACUAGUUGUCGGGUUUUAAUUAACUUGGUAACGCAGCUAACGCGUGAAGUAGACCGCCUGGGGAGUACGGUCGCAAGNUUAAAACUCAAAGAUAGUAGACGNGAGAGAGCGACGACGACGACGACGGAGGAGGAGG